rnacentral:lncRNA from 1 species
GAGUGGGGCCCGGCUGGGGAUCCGAAAGAAGCUCCUAGCUGCCAGGCGCGGUUCAUCAGCACAGUGGCCGGGCUCAGGCGCUGCGGUACCAUGAGGCGCCGGUAAGUGACGGCCGGACCCUGUUGGAACCUUCGCUGCUGCUUAUGCAGCAGACUUCUCAAGCAGCUGGCCGGGCCCACCUGCAGGCCCCGCGGCAUCGGCCUUUCCCCGGCUGGGUGGCGGGGUCGGGGCGGGGCGCAGGCGGGUGGGGCCGCCGGUCUCCCGCGGAGCCCCCGGGCGAGCGGUAGCUGGGAGGUUGGAGCUGCAGGCUUCGGGGGUCCUGGCCGGAGAGACGUUGGGUCAAACCUGCUGUCAUUUAUUUAUCUUCGGGUGGAGUCGACAUCUACACCCCACGGGGGAAAGACGGGAUUCGUGAGAAGGUUGCUGUGCGAGGACAGACUUUCCCCAGAGUUGCCUAGGCCGAGCUGAGGCAUUUCCUUAUUUUCUGAGGAAUUUUUGAUUCCCAGACAGAUCGGCUUUUGUUUCUCAGGACAGAAACCUGACAUAGCCGCGUAAGAAUCGCUUGACUGCAACUUUUAAAACCUCGUUGUGCUUUCUGAAAAGUUAUUCUGUAAUUGUACCUAGGUGCUUAACUGGGCUUACGUACGGAGAUAACAAAGACUUG